AGGACGAACGCUGGCGGCGUGCUUAACACAUGCAAGUCGAGCGGAAAGGCCCUUCGGGGUACUCGAGCGGCGAACGGGUGAGUAACACGUGAGUAAUCUGCCCCUAGCUCUGGGAUAGCUCCGGGAAACCGGGAUUAAUACCGGAUACGACCACUUUAGACAUCUGUUGUGGUGGAAAGAAUUUUGGCUAGGGAUGAGCUCGCGGCCUAUCAGCUUGUUGGUGGGGUAAUGGCCUACCAAGGCGACGACGGGUAGCCGGCCUGAGAGGGCGACCGGCCACACUGGGACUGAGACACGGCCCAGACUCCUACGGGAGGCAGCAGUGGGGAAUAUUGCGCAAUGGGCGAAAGCCUGACGCAGCGACGCCGCGUGAGGGAUGAAGGCCUUCGGGUUGUAAACCUCUUUCAGCAGGGACGAAGCGAAAGUGACGGUACCUGCAGAAGAAGCACCGGCUAACUACGUGCCAGCAGCCGC
rnacentral:rRNA from 1 species